UCUCUCUCCUGGAUGUUGCACUGUGUUGAUCACUGCCCUGCCUCUGCAAAUCCUAUUUGAAAAUCUCAUUUGCAGCAUAACUGACAACAAAGGCAUUACAUGGUGUAUGCCCUGCAUAUUCUGCAGACUGUUCCUUGCCUUUUUUCAUAUGCAAAGCAUGCAUCAGCCACAUCCAUGCUAUCUCCUAAAGCAGUCAUUCUGAAACCCAGUCUGGGGACAGUGCAGACUAAAUAAAAUUUCAUUUUGAUUUGGCCUCCCGCUGAGAAUGGGACUGCUUUGUUUCAGGCGGCAGAACCAGCAAGCCAGAAAGGUACUGAAUACACAAACACUGACUUAACGAAAAAU